GAAGGAUGCCAUGGAAGGAAAACGACCAAGUGGUGUUAAAGUCACUUAACUCGUGCAUCGUUGCCAAGUUGUGUCUACAAUUUUGUUACAGUAAUUCUUUCUGAUAUCUGCCUCAUAUCUUAGUUAAAUUCAAAGGUGAUUUAUUGAACAUUGGCAUCAGAGCAUAAUACUAUAUGUCAGCCAAUAAUGUAAAUAGGUUCUAUCAAAC
rnacentral:misc_RNA from 1 species